UGGAAAACACUUCUUUUCUGGGCUAAGCCUU
rnacentral:piRNA from 1 species